rnacentral:rRNA from 1 species
GUUGGGUAGGGGAGCGUUGUGUAAGCUGAAGAAGGUGGUUCGAGAGGGCUGCUGGAGGUAUCACAAGUGCGAAUGCUGACAUAAGUAACGAUAAAGCGGGUGAAAGGCCCGCUCGCCGGAAGACCAAGGUUUCCUGUCCAACGUUAAUCGGGGCAGGGUGAGUCGGCCCCUAAGGCGAGGCUGAGAAGCGUAGUCGAUGGGAAAUGGGUUAAUAUUCCCAUACUUGGAUAAACUGCGAUGUGGGGACGGAGCAGGUUAGGUUAGCGUACGGAUGGAAGAGUACGUUUAAGUUGGUAGGUGGGGUGUUUAGGCAAAUCCGGGCACCUGAUAACACUGAGAGAUGAUGACGAGGCUCUACGGAGCUGAAGUAACUGAUACCCAACUUCCAGGAAAAGCCACUAAGCGAGAGGUUUAUCUAAACCGUACUGGAAACCGACACAGGUGGUCAGGUAGAGAAUACUAAGGCGCUUGAGAGAACUCGGGUGAAGGAACUAGGCAAAAUAGCACCGUAACUUCGGGAGAAGGUGCGCUGGCGUAGUGUGAAGUUCUUCGCGAAUGGAGCACGAACCAGUCGAAGCGACGAGCUGGCUGCAACUGUUUAAUAAAAACACAGCACUCUGCAAACACGAAAGUGGACGUAUAGGGUGUGAUGCCUGCCCGGUGCUGGAAGGUUAAUUGAUGGUGUUAUCGAAAGAGAAGCACCUGAUCGAAGCCCCAGUAAACGGCGGCCGUAACUAUAACGGUCCUAAGGUAGCGAAAUUCCUUGUCGGGUAAGUUCCGACCUGCACGAAUGGCAUAAUGAUGGCCAGGCUGUCUCCACCCGAGACUCAGUGAAAUUGAAAUCGCCGUGAAGAUGCGGUGUACCCGCGGCUAGACGGAAAGACCCCGUGAACCUUUACUAUAGCUUGACACUGAACCUUGAAUUUUAAUGUGUAGGAUAGGUGGGAGACUAAGAAGCGGUAACGCCAGUUAUCGUGGAGUCGGUGUUGAAAUACCACCCUUUAACGUUUGAUGUUCUAACGAGGCGCCUGGGACAGGUGUUCGGACAGUGUCUGGUGGGUAGUUUGACUGGGGCGGUCUCCUCCCAAAGCGUAACGGAGGAGCACGAAGGUUGGCUAAUGACGGUCGGACAUCGUCAGGUUAGUGCAAUGGUAGAAGCCAGCUUAACUGCGAGACGGACAAGUCGAGCAGGUACGAAAGUAGGUCAUAGUGAUCCGGUGGUUCUGAAUGGAAGGGCCAUCGCUCAACGGAUAAAAGGUACUCCGGGGAUAACAGGCUGAUACCGCCCAAGAGUUCAUAUCGACGGCGGUGUUUGGCACCUCGAUGUCGGCUCAUCACAUCCUGGGGCUGAAGUAGGUCCCAAGGGUAUGGCUGUUCGCCAUUUAAAGUGGUACGCGAGCUGGGUUUAGAACGUCGUGAGACAGUUCGGUCCCUAUCUGCCGUGGGCGUUGGAGGAUUGAGGGGGGUUGCUCCUAGUACGAGAGGACCGGAGUGAACGCACCGCUGGUGUUCCAGUUGUUUCGCCAGAAGCAUAGCUGGGUAGCUAAGUGCGGAAGAGAUAAGUGCUGAAAGCAUCUAAGCACGAAACUUGCCCCGAGAUGAGUUCUCCC